GAUGAACGCUAGCGGGAGGCCUAACACAUGCAAGCUGAGCGGUAGAGUUUCUUCGGAGACUUGAGAGCGGCGUACGGGUGCGGAACACGUGUGCAACCUGCCUUUAUCAGGGGNAUAGCCUUUCGAAAGGAAGAUUAAUACCCCAUAAUAUAUAGAGUGGCAUCACUUUAUAUUGAAAACUGAGGUGGAUAAAGAUGGGCACGCGCAAGAUUAGAUAGUUGGUGAGGUAACGGCUCACCAAGUCGAUGAUCUUUAGGGGGCCUGAGAGGGUGAUCCCCCACACUGGUACUGAGACACGGACCAGACUCCUACGGGAGGCAGCAGUGAGGAAUAUUGGACAAUGGGUUAGCGCCUGAUCCAGCCAUCCCGCGUGAAGGACGACGGCCCUAUGGGUUGUAAACUUCUUUUGUACAGGGAUAAACCUAUUUACGUGUAAAUAGCUGAAGGUACUGUACGAAUAAGCACCGGCUAACUCCGUGCCAGCAGCCGCGGUAAUACGGAGGGUGCAAGCGUUAUCCGGAUUUAUUGGGUUUAAAGGGUCCGUAGGCGGAUCUGUAAGUCAGUGGUGAAAUCUCACAGCUUAACUGUGAAACUGCCAUUGAUACUGCAGGUCUUGAGUAAGGUAGAAGUGGCUGGAAUAAGUAGUGUAGCGGUGAAAUGCAUAGAUAUUACUUAGAACACCAAUUGCGAAGGCAGGUCACUAUGUCUUAACUGACGCUGAUGGACGAAAGCGUGGGGAGCGAACAGGAUUAGAUACCCUGGUAGUCCACGCUGUAAACGAUGCCUAACUCGUUUUUGGGUUUUCGGAUUCAGAGACUAAGCGAAAGUGAUAAGUUAGCCACCUGGGGAGUACGAACGCAAGUUUGAAACUCAAAGGAAUUGACGGGGGCCCGCACAAGCGGUGGAUUAUGUGGUUUAAUUCGAUGAUACGCGAGGAACCUUACCAAGGCUUAAAUGGAAAUUGAUCGGUUUAGAAAUAGACCUUCCUUCGGGCAAUUUUCAAGGUGCUGCAUGGUUGUCGUCAGCUCGUGCCGUGAGGUGUUAGGUUAAGUCCUGCAACGAGCGCAACCCCUGUUACUAGUUGCUACCAUUAAGUUGAG
rnacentral:rRNA from 1 species